AUUGGUGCUUGCAUCAUGAUUUACAUUUGAGUGAGUGGCGAACUGGUGAGUAACACGUGGGAAACCUGCCCAGAAGCGGGGGAUAACACCUGGAAACAGAUGCUAAUACCGCAUAACAACUUGGACCGCAGGGUCCGAGUUUGAAAGAUGGCUUCGGCUAUCACUUUUGGAUGGUCCCGCGGCGUAUUAGCUAGAUGGUGGGGUAACGGCUCACCAUGGCAAUGAUACGUAGCCGACCUGAGAGGGUAAUCGGCCACAUUGGGACUGAGACACGGCCCAAACUCCUACGGGAGGCAGCAGUAGGGAAUCUUCCACAAUGGACGAAAGUCUGAUGGAGCAACGCCGCGUGAGUGAAGAAGGGUUUCGGCUCGUAAAACUCUGUUGUUAAAGAAGAACAUAUCUGAGAGUAACUGUUCAGGUAUUGACGGUAUUUAACCAGAAAGCCACGGCUAACUACGUGCCAGCAGCCGCGGUAAUACGUAGGUGGCAAGCGUUGUCCGGAUUUAUUGGGCGUAAAGCGAGCGCAGGCGGUUUUUUAAGUCUGAUGUGAAAGCCUUCGGCUC
rnacentral:rRNA from 2 species